CCGACGGUGAGGGGCGAAAGCUGGGGGAGCAAACCGGAUUAGAUACCCGGGUAGUCCCAGCCGUAAACGAUGUGCGUUAGGUGUAUCGGUGACCACGAGUCACCGAGGUGCCGAAGAGAAAUCGUGAAACGUACCGCCUGGGAAGUACGGUCGCAAGGCUGAAACUUAAAGGAAUUGGCGGGGGAGCACCACAACAGGUGGAGCCUGCGGUUUAAUCGGACUCAACGCCGGGAAACUCACCAGAUAAGACAGCUGAAUGAUAGUCGGGCUGAAGACUCUACUUGACUAGCUGAGAGGAGGUGCAUGGCCGUCGCCAGUUCGUACUGUGAAGCAUCCUGUUAAGUC
rnacentral:rRNA from 1 species